CACGCGGGCGCCCAAAAACCUCCAGCAGUCAACUUUCCAAGGAAAGGUUGAGAGAGGCUGGAGAGAGCAGAAGAUGGGCCGAGGGGUUCGGGGGAUCUUCAAAUUCCAUGAAGGUCUGCCUAGCGAUGUGUUGUUCUCCAGUGAUCCACAGCAGCAGAGCUUCCUGGAAUAGAGCCGGUCCAGCCUGCCCAUGGCACCUCUCAUUUGGAGCUUUGUGUUCAGUUCUGCCUGCAGCGCUCACUUUUAAAAAGGGCACAAUAGGGCCAGCUAGGAGGCUCAGUGGACUAAAGGCAGGCCUACAGACAAGAAGUGCUGGGUUCAAAUGUGGCCUCAGACCCUUCCUAGCUGGGUGACCCUGGGCAAGUCACUCAACCCACACCUCAUACCCCCACCCCAUCCCCACCCAUGGCUCACCCCUUAUGGCUCUUCUGCCUUGGAACCAAUAUGCAGUAUUGAUUCUAAGAUGGAAGGUAACGGUUCUUUGUUUUGUUUUUUGUUUUUUUAAUGCAUGAAGGAGGGAGCAGCUGGAUUGAGAGCCAGGUCCAGAGAUGGGAGGUCCUGGGUUCAAAUCUGGCCUCAGACACUUCCCAGCUGUGAGACCCUGAGCAAGUCACUUAACCCCCAUUGCCUAGCCCUUACCACUCUUCUGCCUUGGAACCAAUACAAAGUAUUGAUUCCAAGAUGGAAGGUGAGGGUUUAAAAAAUGUGUAUGAAGGAGUAGGGCUUGAUCUGAGCCUUAAAAAAUGGCCCAGAGUAGAUACAUGCAGAGAGACUGUCUUGUGUAUCUAAUAUGACACCAAGUGUGUGGCACCUCUUCAUAAAUAUUUGUGGAUGGAUUAAAAAUACUUUAGGUUAAGGCAAUACUAGACCUCAUUAUCCAUUCAUUCCUUUGUUCAAUAAAUGAAGACACGUUCUUGAAACAACUUGUGACAUUCUAAGAACUUAGAAAUACGGUCUUCAAUGACGGUGGCUCGGACAGUAUACUUUGUGGAUAUCAACUUUUCAAGAUGAGGGAACGUGUGAGAGACGCACACAAAGAAUGUGCACACAAGGACUCGGAAGGAGGCUGUAGUGCCUGUAGGAUCAGGGCAUCUUUCACUGAAAGUGAGCUUUGAAAAUGAGGUUAUUGAACCCCAAUUGAGAAUGACAAAAUUUUCUUCACUAAUUGCUUUGUUUUCAUAGCAAGGUCCUAACAAAGGAAAAACAGAAUCCAGCAUCUGUCUGUCAUUUGCAGCACCAGGUUAGCCUCCCCAGCAGGUGAGGCGUUGCAGGAGAUGCUGCCUGCCCAGGGAGAGGAGCCGGUGGAACUCCUCUGGAAGAGACAGAUUUGUGUUUGGGGCUCCCAUUUAAAAGAUUCCAACAUCCCAGGCAGGACCAGAGACAAGGUCUAUGUUGUAGCCAGCAAGGACCCAGCCUGGCGGCAGUAAGAAUUCUUGGCUUCCUGGAUCUGUUCCCGCGCCUCUCUGUCAGGUUCUUCUUGCUUCCCGGGCCCUCGACUUCGUUGGCUCCGGCCCUGCUUUACCAUCUUUCUUCCCCCUCCUUGUGUGCUCAGGCGUCUCAUAGCUUGUGCUCCAGGCUUUCCUUUUUUCCCCAGUCCUGCUCAUUCCUUCAGAACUAAACCAGAACUAUGGCCAAGUUUUGAGUCUUGUCAUUCAGAGUCCCCGAGGCCAUCAUUUCAGCGAGCUUCUGGGUUCCACCCAACAGUGACGUUCUGCAAUGAAGUACAAUUUAAAUCCUUUGCUUAUUUUUCUCCACUUUGUACCAGCGGCAGUUAACUGAGUCGAUCUCAAUUCCUUGUUUCAUGCAUUUAGGGAAGCUCAGUGGAAGCAAUUGGUGAUUCCUGUACAUCUGAUGAACAGAGAAAGCCCGGGAUUGAGAUUGAGCAGAGGUGAGACUUGUUAGAGGGAAGGAGAAUCUGGUUUACUGACAAGUUGGUGAUUCAGUUAAUAAAUAUUUGCCAUCUUUAUGACUGUUAUUAAGAUUAGAGGGUAUGUUAGAUGGUCGACCCUUUUUUUACUUUAGAUUCCUUAGAAUGAGGCUUUAUUUUAGGACAGAGAGAACACAGUAAAGGGUUGCUACUUGCCUUAGAUUAGGCCUGAUUCCCAUUUUGUUAAAUAGAUUUGCUAUGUUGACAAGCUCAGAGAGAGCAGGACAGUGUGAAGAGGAAGAGGAUUGUUUCUGUGGGCAAGGAAGCUCAAGGAAAGAUUUUUGGAACCAGUGAUCCAGAAUAGAGAGGGCAGAGCCAAGACGUCAGAGUAGAAGUAGGGAAAGUUCACAGUACUCAAAACCAAUGUCAAAAUAAUGUUUCAGGGGCAGCUGGGUGACUCAAUGGAUUGAGAGUCAGGCCCAGAGAUGGGAGGUCCUGGGUUCAAAUGUGAAUUCAGAUACUUCCUAGCUGUGUGACCCUGGGCAAGUCACUUAACCUUCAUUGUCUAGUCCUUAACCCUCUUCUUCCUUGGAACCAAUUCAUAGUAUUGAUUCUAAGUCAGAAGGUGAGGGUUAAAAAAUAAAAUAAAAUAAAAUAAUGCUUCAAAAGGAAUGCUGGAGUGACAGAAUAGCAAGGAAACAGAGAAGCAAUUUUCCUACAGAAAACAACUUGCAAGAUAGGCAGAGAGGGUAUGCUUCACAGGACUGAGAGGAGAGAACAAGAUCCCACCACAGAGUACUGGCACAGCCCAACAGCAGCCCCCCACCCCCACCCCGCUGUAAAAGUUAAAUUAAAUCUCAAUAAUAAUAUUAUAUUUUAAGAGAUCUAUUAAUGAUCAUUAGAAAUCAAGGAAUAAAGAAGAUACAAAAUAAAGACCACAUGCCCAUGGCUGGUUAGCCAUUUUUUAGUCAACCCCACUCACCACCAUCAAUGCUGAUUCUACAUCAGAGAGAGGGAACCUCCAAAGCCCACGCUCUUUAUCCUCUGACUACAGCAAGUACAUAAUGACAGGAAGUCAGUGGGGUCUUGGGACAUGUAGUUCUUUUUUUAGGGUAACAGAUUUUUAAUCAUACACCACAUCUACAGUUCCAGGUUCUGAACCUGGACCAAAACCCACAUCAAGAUCCUGAGGUCCUGCCUCCCAGCAUAGGCAGCUCACAGUGCUCUGAGCUCUGCAAGCCAGCAACAGUUCCAGAAGGUGAUUGAAUAAGCAGAGGGGGGUGGCUUGCAGAACUUCCAGCCCACAAGUCAUCUUACCACCUUGGAAGAACUGAAACUUGCAGAAACCCAGAAAAUACAGCUAAGGAUAGCAGCAAAGAAAUAACUGAAGUUUAAGAAAGUGUCCUCUCUACCCUGAGAACAGAGCCCACCUUUAAAAUGAAAGUUAAAGUCAAGAAAAAAGCUGGGGAAAUGAGCAAACAUCAAAAAGGGGGGGGGAUAUCUAGCCAUAGAAAAAUUUUAUGGAGAAAAAGAUGAAUAAGACAUUGACUCAGAAAGGGACAAUGAAAACAAAGCAGCUACAUGUGAAGUUUCAAAUAAAAAUAUGAAUUGGUAUCAGGCUCUAAAAAAUCUCAAAAAGGAUCUCAAAGAUCAAUUAAGAAAGGGAGAGGAUAAAAGGGGAAGAGAAAGAAAAUCAAUGGAAGAAGAAAAUAAUAGCUUAAAAAGCAGAACUAACCAAAUGGAAAAAAGAGGUUCAAAAGUUCAUGGAAGAAAAUUAUUUCUUAAAAAUUGGAAUCGGGGAACUAGAAGUUAAUGACUAUGAGACAUCAAGAAAUAAUAAAAUAAAAUCAAAAGAAUAAAAAAACAAAAACAUGAAAUAUUGGAAAAAUCAACCAAUUUGGAAAGUAGUUCUAGGAGAGAGAAUUUAAGAAUUAUUGUGCUACCUGAAAGUGACGAGCACACACACACAAAAAGCCUAGACAUCACAUUACAAGAAAUUAUCAAAGAAAAUUGCCCUGAUAUUUUUGAACAAGAGAGAAAAACAGAAAUUGAAAGAAAUUACAGAUCACCUCCAGAAAGAAAUCCCCAAAUGACAACUCCCAGGAAUAUUAUAGCUAAAUUCAAGAGCCCCCCAAACCGAGGAGAAAAUACUGCAAACAGUCAUAAAAAUAAUUCAAAAACUGUGGAGCUAUAGUCAUUAGAAUUAGAAGCCUCCCUCUACAUUAAAGGACCAGAGGGCAAAAGAACUAGGUUUAUGACCCAGAAUCACCUACUUACCAAAUUAAGUAUAUUCUUUCAGGAGGAAAAAUGAUCAUUUAAUAAAAUAGAUUUCCAUGCAUUCCUGAUGUAAAGAACAGAUGUAAACAGCAAAUUUGAUGUCCAAAAACUAGACUCAAGGGAAUCACAAAAAGGUAAAUAAGAAAAAGAAAAUGUAAGGAAUUCAACAAGGUUAAGCUGUUUCUAUUUCUGCAUGAAAAGAUGGUAUUUGUAAUUCUUAAAAUUUUUAUCAGUAUUACAGCAGUUUGAAGGAAUAUACAUACACAGAGGAUAUGGGAGUAAGCUGAUAGAAUAUGAUAGGCAAAAAAAAAAGGAGUGAAAAAAGAAUGCACAGAGAGAAAAGGAAAGGAAGAGGUAGAAUGGGUUAAAUUAUCUCACCUAAAAGAGGCAAAAAAAACUAUUACAGUGGAGGGGAGAAUGAGGGUGGUGAUGGGCAUUGCUUAAACCUUACUCUCAUUGAAAUUGACUCAGAGAGGAAAUAACAGCCAUACUCAUUCAUAUAUAUUACCCUAUGGAGAACUAGGAGGGGAACAUGAUAAGAGAGGAUAAUAGAAAGGAGGGGGAAGUAUAGGGUGGUAAUAAAAGCAAAACACCUGUGAGGAGGAACAGAGUAAAAGGAGAAAGAGCAGGAUCAAAAGGGGAAAAUAAGAUGAAGGGGAAUACACAGUUAUUAAUCAUAACUGAGUGUGAAUGGAAUGAACUCACCCAUAAAAUGGAAUCAGAUAGCAGAGUGGAUUAAAAACCAGAACCAUACUAUGUGUUGUUUACAAGAAACACAUGUGAGGCAGGGAGACACACACAGAAUAAAGGUAAGGGGCUAGAGCAAAAUUCAUUUUGCAUCAGUUGAAGUAAAAAAAAAAAGAGUAGCAAUCAUGAUCCCAGACAAAGCUAAAGCAAAAAAGCAAAGAUUUAAUUAAAAGAGAUAAGGAAAUUAUAUCUUGCUAACAGGUACCAUAGACAAUUAAAUAAUUUCAAUACUCAACAUAUAUACACUGAAUGUUAAUUUCCAUUAAAUGAGAUUCAGAAGGAAAUAUAGUAAAACUAUACUAGUGAGGGACCUCCACUUCCCCCUUUCAGAUUGAGAUUAAAUCUAGAAAAAUAAAUAAGAACUGAAGGAAGUAAAUGAAAUGUUAGAAAAAUUAGAUCUAAUAGAUCUCUUGAGAAAACAAUGGGGAUAGAAAGGAAUUUUUUUUUUCAACAGAACAUGGCAUGUACACAAAAGCUGACCAUGUAUUAGGGUAUAAAACUUCACAACCAAAUGCAGAAAAACAAAAAUAAUAAAUGCAUCCUUUUUCAAAUCAUAAUGCAAUUAACCAUUAUGAUCAAUAAGAGUCCAUGGAAAGAUAAAAAAUUAAUUGGAAUCAAAAUAAUUUAAUUAUAAAAAGGGAGGGGUCAAAAAUAAACUAUAUAGAAACAAUUUCAUUAAGGAGAACAAUGAGGAUGCAACAUAUCAAAAUUUAUGGGAUGCAGUACUUACAAGAAAGUUUAUAUCUCUAAAUGCUUACAUCAAGCAGACCAAUGAAUUUGCAACUAAAAAAACUAGAAAAAGAACAAAUUUUAAAUCCCCAAUUAAAGACUAAACUGCAAAUCCUAAAAAUCAAAGGAGAAAUUAAUAAAAUUGAAAGAGAAUUAUUGAACUAAUAAAUAAGAAUAGGAAUCCACUGGGGGGGGGGAAUAAAACAAAGUAUCGGUUAAUUUGAUUUUAAAGAAUGGAAGAAGGAAGAGAUGAUCCUUAAUUUGAAUAUUGAAGGAAGAGAACAAUUCGGACAGAUGGUGAAGAAAGUUCAUUCUGGACAUGGGGAUGGUAUGAGCAUAAGUAGUAAGAUAGAAGAGAACAAUAUAAGAAUAAAGGAUGAUAAGUAGUUCCAUUUAGAAGAUAAUCUAUGAGAAAGGGAAUAGUGCAAGGUAGGGUUAGAAAAGUAGAUCAUAGAAGGCCUUAAAUACCAGAACUGGAAGUUUAUGCUUUAUUUGAUAAGUAACAGGAAGCUACUAAAGUUGUUGGGGGGGGGGGAUGGGAUUUGAUCUGCAGAGUCAUCAGAGAAGUGGUAAAUGAAUUAUUAAGGGGAUAAGCUAAAAGAAGGUCAACAAGUUAUUAAGGCUAUUAAAAAUAGUCUAGGAUAGAAAAGGAGACCUGUCUUGGGGUGGUCACUGUGGAAAUGCAAAGGGAGGGAAAAGAUGUGAGAAAUGUGUUAGAGAUGAAGGGUUUGGCUGUGGAUUGAAUGAGGAAAUAAAGGGCAGAGCUUUCAAGUUCAGUUUACUAGGAGAAAGAUGGUGCCAUGAAUAGAAAUAGAAAAGCUGGGAGAAACGAAAGGGGACAAUUGAGAACAUAAUGAGACUGGACAUCCAUGAAAUUGGAUGUUCUAGAUGGAAAUAGGGACUUUCUAAAGAGAAGUUGAGUUUGAAAAUAGAGAUUGGAGAAUUAUCAGCAUAGUGGUAAUGAAUAAAGCCAAAAAGAGUGCAUUGGAUUACCAAAGCAGUGCAGAGAAGAGAACCCACAGCAGAACUUUUCAGGUUAUACAUAUUUAAAGGGAAUGGAAGAAGAGUGACCUAGUAAAGGAGGAGCAGAAAAGUCGGAAGAGAAUCAUGAGAGAGCUGUGGCAUGUAAAGCAACAGAAAAGUGAUAUCAAGAAGGAGACUAUUGUAAAUGGAGAUAGAUACUACAGCAAGGUCAAGGAGAAUAAGAAAAAAAGGCUAUUGGAUUUAGUCAUGGAAAGAAAUUUGUAAUUAGACAAUACCCCCUUCAUCCCUAUUUCAUCAUUUCUCUUGAUGUUUUAGAUAACUUAGUUUUUCAAAUGAAUUUUGUUAUUCUCUCAAGUUCUGUAUAAAGUAUUCUUUCGGUAAUUUCAUUGGCAUAGCAUUAAAAAUAUAAAUUCAUUUUGGCAGUACUGUGAUUUUUGUUGGCAUAGCCUAGUCUAGGCAUAUUCAAUAUUCUUUCAGCUUUUUAAAUGUCUUGACUUCUUUAAGGAGUAGUUUGUAAUCAAAUCUAUAUGUCUUUUUGUGUGCUUUGGGAGGUCAGUCCCCAGAUAUGUAAUGAAUUUUGUAAUUAUUUAGAAGAAAUUCCCUUUCUAUUAUUGCUUCUUGGGUUUUGUUAUAUUAAAAUGCUGCUGAUUUUGGAAGCUUUAUUUUGUAGCCUGUAACUUUGCUGAAGUUAUUGUCUGAAUUAGUAGCUUUGCUAGUUCCAAGGUGGAGGAGUGGUAAGGACUAGGGGGUUAGGUGACUUGCCCAGGGUCACACAGGUAGAAAGUUUGUGAGGCCAGAUUUGAGCCCAAAAUCUUCCAUCUCUAGACCUAGCUGUCAAUCCACUGAGUCAUCCAGCUGUCCCCCGAUAUGUUCUGAUUAUUCUCUUUAUUUCUUCUGAUUCUGCUAUGAUUUCACCAUGCUUUUUUGCUAUUUGAUAUGAUUUUCUGCUAUCUUUUUAGUCAGAUUAGCAAAGAGUUUAUUGAUUUUAUUAGUCAUUUCAAAGUACCAGCUUUUAAUUUUAUUUAUUAUUUCUAUGGUUUAAUUUAUUUUUCCUCUAAUUUUUAAUAUUAAAUUAUAUAAAUAAAUCUAUAAAUGGCUUAUAUUUAUAUAAUAAAUAUGUGCUUAUGACAUGUUAUAUAAAUGUUAUAUAUUAUGUAAUGAUGAUAUUACAUAAUAACUAAUUAAUAUUUAAUAUCUUCUUUUGUGCUUAUCUUUGUGCUAAUCUUUCAGUGCCUUUUUGGGAAAGGGCCAUUACCAGUCUAGAGAAAAGCGGUGGAUAUUUUCUCUCCCUCUAUACCCCCUCAUAAACAAUGUUGUUAAAAAAUAAUAAAGUUUAGUGGACAGAAUACUGGCCUUGGUCACGCAGGAUGCCUAAAUCAGCAAGGUUUUUUAGAAAGUCAGGGGUCCUGGAUUCAAUAUGACUCUCCUACUUACCUGCGUGAUUUGGAGUCAUUUUCUAAGAUGGACCUAAAUUUCUACCUUUAGGCCCAGUGUCUAAGCUUUGGCAUCACUAGAUUCCUUUAGUGAAUGGAAGGGAACAGUUGGUGGCAUCACCGGGUAAAUUCGCAGAAUGGAGACGUUUGGCCAAGCCAGUCACCUCCUGCAUUCCAGCAGGCUCUUGUGGCCAGAUCUGACCUGGAGCCACUGGUUUGUGGAGAAGAGGCUGCUCAGAAUUCCAAGCAACAGAAUUUCCUCCUAAGCUGAGGUCUCUGUAUCAAAUGAGAUGGGUUUGGGGGUUUAAAGUCACUUUUCCCCUUCUUUGAAGAAGCCUCUGGGCCAGACAAUAAAAACCAACCUCCCGCCCGGCUCUACGGUUUAGUUCUGGGUGUUGGCUCGUGUUUUGGAAGCUGGUGGCUAAAUAUUUUACAAAAACUCCCCUCGGAGCGUCUUUGCUGGAAGCAGCAGGAGAAAACGGGAGGCCCGGCGAGGGAUCUCUCCCGGGCACUGACGUGUAAACCACGGAAAAACACCAAGCGCAGGAAGCCGCCACGCUGACAGGAGCCCAGGCCCCUCGGUCCCCGGACUCUCAGUCCCCGGGUCCCCGGGUCCCCCGGCCCCCUGGACCACUGGUUCCCCGGCCCCCCCGACCCCCCGAUUCCCCGGCCCCCCGGACCACUGGUCCCCCGGCCCCCGGUCCCCCAGCCCCUCUGCCCCCAGGACCCUGGUCCCUCAGCCCUCAGGCCCUCAUCCCCCUGGCCUCCCGGCUUUCAGCCCCCGGGCCCAGCUGCAACGGUGAUGCUGAGCUCGAGCCCCAGAGCAGCCAGAAAAUCGUUUGUUUGUUUUUUUCCUGUUGGGGAGGGCCGUGAGUCAAGGUGGUCCCGGCCAGAAGGCAGGAGGGCCGGGCAGCGGGCCUCGCCGAGCUCCGAUAUUUCUAUGGCAAACUGCAAGGACAAAUGGUGAUGGGCCCCGCCCUCUGGGAGUGGCUUAUGUUGUAACGGAAAGGAUGCGGGAUUUGGGGUUCAAAUCCCAGCACUGUCCUACUGCUUGUGUGACUUUGGAUAAAAGAAUUUGAAGACCAAGAGGUUGUGGAAGGGCAACAGAGCUGGUCAGCGAGUCUGAGGCACUCCCCUUCCAGAGGCACAAGGUGCCACCUCAGCAAUAGCUUUGCUCCAGCUUCUCUCUGAUCCAGGGUCAUGGGCGGAUCUACUCUUGGCCCCAGCCACAGGAGCAUCUCCCUGGCCCCUUAUUCCACGUGGUACAUUGAGAAUGUCACGCCGCUGUUCUGGCAGAGACUUGCAAAGACCAGGAGAAAUUGUUUCUGGCUUCAAAACUGGCAGGGGAGAAAAGCUGGUGCCCCUGAAGGUGACUCUGUCUAGCGUUGGAAGAGUUUUCUUGCCGCUCGCUCUUGGGUUAGCUUUUCUUCAGGGAGCAUGUCUGGGAUCAUGUCUGCACUCCUCUCUGCUUUCAGAACUAGCCAAGGGCACAGGUCUCGGACCUGCCGCAGACCCGCUUGGCUCACAUUGCGACAGAAGUCCACAUGGAGGGUCCUCAGUGAGCGCCCGUGAAUGGUUACCGCAGCCAGCAUUCGGUUGGUGAUGCGAACACAAUUUUCCAGUUUGAGGGUCUGCAGGUUGGGGCAACUCUGGAGCAAUAAUGCAAUGCAUUCAUCAGUGACGUGGCCACAGCCGGAGAGCGUCAAGGACAAGAGGUUUGGGCACCUGAAAGAGAGAGUGUCAACAUAGGAAGGGAAGAGGACAAAGGAGCCAAAUUAGGCACCCCCCACCCCUUCUGCUCAUGAAUUGAUUAGGAAGUGCACUGGAAAGAUCAUUGCAUUUGGAGUCAGCCACUGAGACACCUGGCAUGUGGCCUCCCCUUUCUGGGCUUCAGUUGUAAAACUAAGACACCUUCCACCUUUAAAUUCAAGAUUCUAUUGUCUGUCAGGGCUUCGACACCAUGCAAGUUGUUAAAACUAGAAACCCUUCCAGAGACCUCCAAAAUUCAGCCAAAGGGGUACCCUUCCUUGAUGUGGCAGGAAAGAGAGAUCUGGGCAUCUCUCAGACCUAGGAAAGGUGGACCAAUCAGAAGAGACCAUCACUUGGAGAUGAAAAGGCUAAAUCUGAUCACAAGAUUGUCUCUUCCUUUGAUGGAAGGAGCCUUAAGGGGAAAAGGGUCUUCUCUCCUCUAGGGCCAUUCUCCCCUGCCCGCCAGUGCAUCCCUCUCUCCUGCUCUGCCCCAUCCAUCUCUGAGCACACACUCCAUUUGCCCCAAAGUAAGCAGGGAAUGAUUAAUCAUGACCAGAUGGUUUUCCAAACUAGAACUACUUGUCUUUGCUUUCAAUCUGGGAAAAAGUCACCGAAGCAGUUGGCAGGAGCCAAACCCUCCUCCACUAAGAUUUUCUUGCAUUUGUUGGGUGGGCCAGGGAAAAACAAGGAAAAAUGAUUGAUGUUGAAUCAAAACUGUUCCUUCCAAACAGUGGGAAGUAAUUUCUCCUUUAGUAAAAAGAGGUUUAUAGAUGAAAUCAAGUCAAAUUUAUCAAUCAUGGCAAUAACCAGAAAGUUAUUCAUCCUCACCUAGAAGGAGUCCUUCUCUGUCCCCUCCGCUCUAAGAAAUCAAAGUGUUUAAGGGGGAGAAUACUAUCUCCCCCCCCUCCCCCAGCUUGGCUAAUCGGGUAUAUUAGGUUGAAGAAUAAGCUGUUGCACUGGAAGGCACUUACGACCUUGCUUGUGGGGAGCUCUCCUGGGGUGAAAAACCCAAAGGCUGCAGGGAGCCUGGUCAACCCACCAUUUGUAGAGAAAAUGGGUUACACUUUGUUCUCUCUUGCCGAGAAGGCAGCAGCAAAUUGCAAACAUACUCCCUGGCUCCUAUCCUAAAUGUUUUCUUUCUUAAAAUAUGUAAACUUUGGAUGUAGACUCUAAAUGAUCAUCCCCGUGCAAACAUCAACAUGGAAAUAGGUUCUGAUCAAGGACACAUGUAAUACCCAGCGGAACUUCGUGUUGGUUGGGGGGGGGGUAGAGGGGAGGGAGGGAAAUAAUGUGAUUCUUGUAACCAAGGAAUAAUGUUCUAAACUGACUAAAUAAACUAAUUCAAAUGAAAAAAAAAAAUAAAAGGAACGUUGAAGUUUUAAAAAAA